GGGCGCGCCUCCCCCGCCGCUCGGGCCGGCCGUAGCGGAGCCCUGCUAGCCCGGCCGCCCCCUCGUCCCUGCCCGCGAAUGCGGAAGCGGCCGCGGCCCCCCGUCCCCCAGUUCCCCCGGCGCGUUUCCUCGGUUCCCGAGGAUGGCACGCCAGGAGGCAGGGUAAACAACGGAAUUGAAGUUUUGAAGGAUGGGUAAAGACUUUCGUUAUUAUUUCCAGCAUCCCUGGUCUCGCUUGAUCGUGGCUUACUUGGUGAUCUUCUUUAACUUCUUAAUAUUUGCCGAGGACCCAGUUUCUCAUAGCCAAACAGAAGCCAAUGUUAUUGUUGUUGGAAACUGUUUUUCAUUUGUAACGAAUAAAUACCCUAGAGGAGUUGGCUGGAGGAUCCUGAAGGUGCUUCUAUGGCUACUUGCCAUUCUCAUAGGACUAAUAGCUGGCAAAUUUCUGUUCCAUCAGCGUUUGUUUGGAGGUAAAGGUAGAACUUUCUUAUGGAAGCAACUAUCCAAUGGAAUUGCAGCACGCAGAGCCAUGCACAGGGAGCUGAGAGAAACCACGUCACUGAUUAAUGAAAUAGAAGUAGCCUGGGUGGAACUUGAUGGCUGGUUAAACUAUGGUAACCUUGAAAGUGAAGAGUGCUUGAUCACUUGAUUCAUUUAAAACCACCUUGAUAGGAAUGGAUUAUGGUUCAAAUAAUAGGGUCAACAAUCCUAGGUGGGAGAGGAGUAUGAUUUGAGAGGACACUGAUGAAUAAAAGUAUUCCCUGCUUUGAUUUCUUUUCUCUUUUAUGAAUUCCUAACACUGGAUUAUUUCUUGAAGAUACUCUCACUGGGUUAAAGUCUUAUGCUACUUGGAGGUAUGAUGAACUAACAAGGAUAUUAAUAAUUGCCUUCAUU